UACGGGGGGGGCAAGCGUUGUUCGGAAUUACUGGGCGUAAAGGGCUCGUAGGCGGCCAUCUUAGUCGGACGUGAAAUCCCUCGGCUCAACCGGGGAACUGCGUCUGAUACUGGUUGGCUCGAAUCCGGGAGAGGGAUGCGGAAUUCCAGGUGUAGCGGUGAAAUGCGUAGAUAUCUGGAGGAACACCGGUGGCGGAGGCGGCAUCCUGGACCGGUAUUGACGCUGAUGAGCGAAAGCCAGGGGAGCAAACGGG
rnacentral:rRNA from 1 species